rnacentral:sRNA from 1 species
GUUUUAAAGACGCUAGAGUGCCAAAGAAGACUUUGAAGUGUGAAAACAUUUCCUGUAAUUGAAACCAAAAUGUCAUUUAUAGAUCCUUACCAGCACAUUAUAGUGGAGCACCAGUAUUCCCACAAGUUUACGGUAGUGGUGUUACGUGCCACCAAAGUGACAAAGGGGGCCUUUGGUGACAUGCUUGAUACUCCAGAUCCCUAUGUGGAACUUUUUAUCUCUACAACCCCUGACAGCAGGAAGAGAACAAGACAUUUCAAUAAUGACAUAAACCCUGUGUGGAAUGAGACCUUUGAAUUUAUUUUGGAUCCUAAUCAGGAAAAUGUUUUGGAGAUUACAUUAAUGGAUGCCAAUUAUGUCAUGGAUGAAACUCUAGGGACAGCAACAUUUCCUGUAUCUUCUAUGAAGGUGGGAGAGAAGAAAGAAGUUCCUUUUAUUUUCAACCAAGUCACUGAAAUGAUUCUAGAAAUGUCUCUUGAAGUUUGCUCAUGCCCAGACCUACGAUUUAGUAUGGCUCUGUGUGAUCAGGAGAAGACUUUCAGACAACAGAGAAAAGAACACAUAAGGGAGAGCAUGAAGAAACUCUUGGGUCCAAAGAAUAGUGAAGGAUUGCAUUCUGCACGUGACGUACAUGUCAACCUUGUAUUCUCACCCUGAUUUUCCAGAGAAAGGGCCAGAGGAGAUUAAUGAAGAACUAAUGAAAAAUGUUAGCCACAACCCCCUCUUACUUCUCACACCACAGAAAGUUAAAAGAUAUGUUGAGUCUUUAUGGAAGAAGAAAAGCUCUGGACAACCUGUCACCUUUACUGAUAUCUUUGGGAUGUUAAUAGGAGAAACACUAAUUCAUAAU